UCGGGACUGACGGGGCUCGAACCCNC
rnacentral:tRNA from 1 species